rnacentral:rRNA from 1 species
UACGUAGGGUGCGAGCGUUAAUCGGAAUUACUGGGCGUAAAGCGUGCGCAGGCGGUUCGUUGUGUCUGUGGUGAAAGCCCCGGGCUUAACCUGGGAAUGGCCAUGGAAACUGGCGAGCUGGAGUGUGGCAGAGGGGGGUGGAAUUCCGCGUGUAGCAGUGAAGUGCGUAGAGAUGCGGAGGAACACCGAUGGCGAAGGCAGCCCCCUGGGUUGACACUGACGCUCAGGCACGAAAGCGUGGGGAGCAAACAGG